AUGGUGCCUCAUGAUGGUUCGAGUUCAUCCCAAGCCGAGGGAUUAUCUGUUUGUGGCAGGACAAAGGAGAAGAACUCCAAUAAUGGAAAAAGAGGCAAAAGUAAGAACGGCCACAGGGGCUGGUCGCAAUCCAGAGACAAGAAAUAUUGCAGAUAUUGCAAGAGAGACGGGCAUGACAUCUCUGAGUGUUUCAAGUUGCAGAACAAGGAAAAGAGGAAAGGUAACAAACAAGGUGAAAAUUCUGCUAACGUUGCUCGUGAUGAUAGUUCCGAUGAUGCUCUUGUCGUUAUUGCUGGAUGUGCCGAGACCAAUGAUGAGUGGGUACUUGACACUGCAUGCACUUUUCAUAUGUGUCCACAUAGAGAUUGGUUUAAUACUUUUGAUUCCACUACUUCUGCUGGUUCCGUUUUGGGUUUUGAUAAUUCACCAUGCAAGACUGAAGGCAUAGGUUCUAUUCGAAUCAAGAUGUUUGAUGGCAUAAUUAGAACUUUGACAGAUGUUCGGUAUAUUCCGAAGAUGAAGAGAAAUCUUAUUUCUGUGAGUGCCCUUGAUGCAAAGGGGUACAAGUAUUCAGGUGGAGAUAGUGUUUUGGAAGUCACCAAAGAUUCCCUUAUUGUGAUGAAAGGUGACUUAAAUUCGACUAAUGGUCUUUAUUACCUUCGAGGUUCUACCGUUUCAGAUAAAGCUACUCCAGUUAUUUCAAAGAAUUCUGAUUGUGAUGCUGGUAACCUUUGG
rnacentral:rRNA from 1 species